rnacentral:rRNA from 1 species
AGCGUGGAGACAGGUGGUGCAUGGCUGUCGUCAGCUCGUGUCGUGAGAUGUUGGGUUAAGUCCCGCAACGAGCGCAACCCUCACCCCUUGUUGCCACCAGGUCAGGCUGGGCACUCUAGGGGAACUGCCCCGGUCAACGGGGAGGAAGGUGGGGAUGACGUCAAGUCAUCAUGCCCCUUACGUCCUGGGCUACACACGUGCUACAAUGGCCGGUACAAAGGGAUGCAAGACUGCGAGGUGGAGCUAAACCCAAAAAGCCGGCCUAAGUUCAGAUUGGAGUCUGCAACUCGACUCCAUGAAGGAGGAAUCGCUGGUAAUCGCGCAUCAGCACGGCGCGGUGAAUACGUUCCCGGGCCUUGUACACACCGCCCGUCACACCACGAAAGCCAGCUGUACUCGAAGUCGCUGAG